rnacentral:rRNA from 1 species
AGAGUUUGAUCCUGGCUCAGAGCGAACGCUGGCGGCAGGCUUAACACAUGCAAGUCGAGCGGGCAUCUUUCGGGGUGUCAGCGGCGGACGGGUGAGUAACGCGUGGGAACGUGCCCUCUGGUUCGGAAUAACUCAGGGAAACUUGAGCUAAUACCGGAUACGCCCUUUUGGGGAAAGGCUUGCUGCCGGAGGAUCGGCCCGCGUCUGAUUAGCUAGUUGGUGAGGUAACGGCUCACCAAGGCGACGAUCAGUAGCUGGUCUGAGAGGAUGAUCAGCCACACUGGGACUGAGACACGGCCCAGACUCCUACGGGAGGCAGCAGUGGGGAAUAUUGGACAAUGGGCGCAAGCCUGAUCCAGCCAUGCCGCGUGAGUGAUG